AGCGAGUCCCGUUAGGUGAGGCUCCUGUGCCGACAAGGUGUGCUGCCCAGAAAUGUCGAGAGACGCCAAUGGGUUGAACAGGCCCUGCCGAACGAAGGCUUGGUCUAAUGCACACCGCGGCCCGCGCCCUGCGCGCGGCCUUUGAGUCGCACAGUGCCGAAGCUCUACGAAGGGGACUUGGU
rnacentral:sRNA from 14 species